CCUACGGGUGGCAGCAGUGAGGAAUAUUGGUCAAUGGACGAGAGCCUGAACCAGCCAAGUAGCGUGAAGGAUGACUGCCCUAUGGGUUGUAAACUUCUUUUAUAAAGGAAUAAAACGCGGCAUGUAUGCUUUUUUGCAUGUACUUUAUGAAUAAGGAUCGGCUAACUCCGUGCCAGCAGCCGCGGUAAUACGGAGGAUCCGAGCGUUAUCCGGAUUUAUUGGGUUUAAAGGGAGCGUAGGUGGGUUGUUAAGUCAGUUGUGAAAGUUUGCGGCUCAACCGUAAAAUUGCAAUUGAUACUGGCAGUCUUGAGUACAGUUGAGGUAGGCGGAAUUCGUGGUGUAGCGGUGAAAUGCUUAGAUAUCACGAAGAACCCCGAUUGCGAAGGCAGCUUACUAAACUGUAACUGACAUUGAUGCUCGAAAGUGUGGGUAUCAAACAGGAUUAGAUACCCUAGUAGUC
rnacentral:rRNA from 1 species